rnacentral:rRNA from 1 species
ACGCUGAAGAGAGGAGCUUGCUCUUCUUGGAUGAGUUGCGAACGGGUGAGUAACGCGUAGGUAACCUGCCUUGUAGCGGGGGAUAACUAUUGGAAACGAUAGCUAAUACCGCAUAACAAUGGAUGACACAUGUCAUUUAUUUGAAAGGGGCAAUUGCUCCACUACAAGAUGGACCUGCGUUGUAUUAGCUAGUAGGUGAGGUAAUGGCUCACCUAGGCGACGAUACAUAGCCGACCUGAGAGGGUGAUCGGCCACACUGGGACUGAGACACGGCCCAGACUCCUACGGGAGGCAGCAGUAGGGAAUCUUCGGCAAUGGGGGCAACCCUGACCGAGCAACGCCGCGUGAGUGAAGAAGGUUUUCGGAUCGUAAAGCUCUGUUGUAAGUCAAGAACGGGUGUGAGAGUGGAAAGUUCACACUGUGACGGUAGCUUACCAGAAAGGGACGGCUAACUACGUGCCAGCAGCCGCGGUAAUACGUAGGUCCCGAGCGUUGUCCGGAUUUAUUGGGCGUAAAGCGAGCGCAGGCGGUUUGAUAAGUCUGAAGUUAAAGGCUGUGGCUCAACCAUAGUUCGCUUUGGAAACUGUCAAACUUGAGUGCAGAAGGGGAGAGUGGAAUUCCAUGUGUAGCGGUGAAAUGCGUAGAUAUAUGGAGGAACACCGGUGGCGAAAGCGGCUCUCUGGUCUGUAACUGACGCUGAGGCUCGAAAGCGUGGGGAGCGAACAGGAUUAGAUACCCUGGUAGUCCACGCCGUAAACGAUGAGUGCUAGGUGUUGGAUCCUUUCCGGGAUUCAGUGCCGCAGCUAACGCAUUAAGCACUCCGCCUGGGGAGUACGACCGCAAGGUUGAAACUCAAAGGAAUUGACGGGGGCCCGCACAAGCGGUGGAGCAUGUGGUUUAAUUCGAAGCAACGCGAAGAACCUUACCAGGUCUUGACAUCCCGAUGCUAUUUCUAGAGAUAGAAAGUUACUUCGGUACAUCGGUGACAGGUGGUGCAUGGUUGUCGUCAGCUCGUGUCGUGAGAUGUUGGGUUAAGUCCCGCAACGAGCGCAACCCCUAUUGUUAGUUGCCAUCAUUCAGUUGGGCACUCUAGCGAGACUGCCGGUAAUAAACCGGAGGAAGGUGGGGAUGACGUCAAAUCAUCAUGCCCCUUAUGACCUGGGCUACACACGUGCUACAAUGGUUGGUACAACGAGUUGCGAGUCGGUGACGGCGAGCUAAUCUCUUAAAGCCAAUCUCAGUUCGGAUUGUAGGCUGCAACUCGCCUACAUGAAGUCGGAAUCGCUAGUAAUCGCGGAUCAGCACGCCGCGGUGAAUACGUUCCCGGGCCUUGUACACACCGCCCGUCACACCACGAGAGUUUGUAACACCCGAAGUCGGUGAGGUAACCUUUGGA